rnacentral:rRNA from 1 species
GACGAACGCUGGCGGCGUGCUUAACACAUGCAAGUCGAACGGAAAGGCCCUGCUUUUGUUGGGUUCUCGAUUGGCGAACGGGUGAGUAACACGUGAGUAACCUCCCCUUGUCUUUGUGAUAACUUCAGGGAACUGGGGCUAUUACCGGAUAGGAGCUCCUGCUGCGUGGUGUUGGUUGGAAAGUUUCGGCGGUUGGGGAUGGUUUCGCGGGUUAUCAGCUUGUUGGUGGGGUAGUGGCUUACCAAGGCUUUGACGGGUAGCCGGCCUGAGAGGGUGACCGGCCACAUUGGGACUGAGAUACGGACCAGACUCCUACGGGAGGCAGCAGUGGGGAAUAUUGCACAAUGGGCGGAAGCCUGAUGCAGCAACGCCGCGUGCGGGAUGACGGCCUUCGGGUUGUAAACCGCUUUCGCCGGUGACGAAGCGUGAGUGACGGUAAUGGGUAAAGAAGCACCGGCUAACUACGUG